rnacentral:rRNA from 1 species
UACGUAGGGGGCAAGCGUUGUCCGGAAUCAUUGGGCGUAAAGAGCGUGUAGGCGGCCAGAUAAGUCCGCUGUGAAAUCUCGAGGCUCAACUUCGAGCUGUCGGUGGAAACUGUCUGGCUAGAGUCCGGAAGAGGAGAAUGGAAUUCCUGGUGUAGCGGUGAAAUGCGCAGAUAUCAGGAAGAACACCCGUGGCGAAGGCAAUCCCCUGGGCCUGCACUGACGCUCAUGCACGAAAGCGUGGGGAGCAAACAGG